rnacentral:rRNA from 1 species
AGCGUAGACGGAAUGGCAAGUCUGAUGUGAAAGACCGGGGCUCAACCCCGGGACUGCAUUGGAAACUGUCAAUCUAGAGUACCGGAGGGGUAAGUGGAAUUCCUAGUGUAGCGGUGAAAUGCGUAGAUAUUAGGAGGAACACCAGUGGCGAAGGCGGCUUACUGGACGGUAACUGACGUUGAGGCUCGAAAGCGUGGGAGGCAAACA